rnacentral:hammerhead_ribozyme from 1 species
GCACUGCUGACGAGUCCCUAACAGGACGAAACAGCUUUUCAAUAC